rnacentral:tRNA from 1 species
AAAUAAGUAAGCUAAUUUUAUAAGCUUUUAGGUUCAUACCCUAACUAUAGAAAUUUUUCUCUUAUUUA